ACCCCUGCACAGUCCCUCUGUGCUGGCAUGGCCUCGGGACCUGGUACAGCCAUCCACAUCACUGUCAUUUCAAAGCAGCAGCAGCACUGGCUUUCAGCUGAGCCAGGUACGCCUCUCUCAGAAUGUCUGAGCUAAUGUGGAGGUCAGAAAAUUAAGACCCAGGGAGGAACAAGAGAUUACUCAAGGUCACAACCCAUUCAUUCAGAAACAUUGUGUGAGCAGCCCAGGCGAUAAUUGGCUCUGUGGUUUAAUUUUUGCAAUUCUCUAAGCAAAGUUGCUCUGUUGCCAAUGGGAAAGUUUCUCCUGGGAUCUUGGAAGUGAAGAAAGUCAAAUGGCUACAAUUUGAAGGAAACCUUAAGCCAGGAGUUCAACAACUCAUCCAGGGGGAUGAUGGAGCGAUGGGGUGAAAUCUAGCACACAGGAGAAGAAAAUGACCACAUUCCCUUGGAGGAUGCUUUUCUUGCUGUCAGUGAAGGAUGUGGAAGGUCAGAAAAAUCCCUUGGCAAAAGAUCAGCCAUAUAAGGUAAAUAUCGUCCAGGUUUACAGAUGAAGAAAAUGAAGCUCUCCGAGGAAAAUGUGCUGCUUAUUUUCUCUCCUCCCCCCUUCCUGAGGUACAUUGAUUCUCCGCUCUGAUUUGUGACCCCAGGAAGCUGCCUGCUGUGAACUGCAGUGGCCAAUGAGAGCCACUGCCAGGGAAAAGUGAGGGAGGCUGGGGUGUUUCCUCCUGCUUCUGCACUCUGUCUCUAGUAGUGGCUAGCCCCUGUUCCCAACCCUUGCUGAACCCCAGGAACACUCUCUCCCUUGGUAAAUAAUGCUUUCCCAUGGUUACCAGGUCCUGACUGCCUCCAUCAAGGAGGUGACAAUCACUUGGUAGCUCUCUUAACCCCAUCUGAGUCUCUCUUCUUUGUAAACAGUCACUGCAUUGAAGUCUAAUCAGUUGCACCAUCUGAGUUGCAUGAUCUGAGUGACAGCUUCCUAAUUGAUAUGAUAAGCAAAGUAUCCAGAAUUAGUUAACUAAAUCUAAUUGUGGUUGAGCAAUGCUGCCCCUAAGGGCUGGUUUGGGUGAGCAAGCAAGUCAAAGACAGGGCAGAGACAGUGUCUCAUCCCUCAUUCUGCCAGCAGGGAGAUGAAAUGUUGUGGCUCCAGCAGCACCGGAAUGUGUCUUGGAUCUAGAAGGAAGAGGUGGUGGUGUUAGACUAGAGGUCUGGAGAUCCUGGUUCUUGUCCUAACCCUGCCUGCAGAAUCAAUUUCCAAGUAACCUUGAGCUCUUCAUUUUCUGGGGCCCUCAGCAUUCAGAUUAAAAAAUUUUUUUUAAAAAUUCUAGUUGCUUUACAGUGUUCUGUUAAUUUCUGCUGUACAGCAAAGUAACCCAGAUAUACAUAUGUAUAUACAUUCUUUUUCUCACAAGCAUUCAAAUUUUAAUGAUUUUUAUUUUUCCCAUUAUAGUUGGUUUACAGCAUUCUGUCAAUUUUCUACUGUACAACAAAGUGACCCAGUUACACAUACAUGUAUAUAUUCUUUUUUCUCACAUUAUCAUGCUCCAUUACAAGUGAUUAGAUAUAGUUCAGAGUGCUAUACAGAAGGAUCUCAUUGCUUAUCCAUUCCAAAGGCAAUAGUUUGCAUUUAUUAACCCCAGAUUUCCAAUCUACUCCACUCCCUCCCCCUCCCCCUCCCCCUUGGCAACCAAGUCCGUGAGUUUCUUUUCUGUGGACAGGUUCAUUUGUGCCAUAUAUUAGAUUCCAGAUAUAAGUGAUAUCAUAAGGUAUUUGUCUUUCUCUUUCUGACUUACUUCACCUACUAUGAGAGUCUCUAGUUCCAUCCAUGUUGCUGCAAACGGUAUUAUUUUGUCUUUUUAUGGCUGAGUAGUAUUCCAUUGUGUAUAUAUACCACAUCUUCUUAAUCCAUUCAUCUGUCAAUGGACAUUUGGUUUGUUUCCACGUCUUGGCUAUUGUGACUAGUGCUACAAUGAACAUAUGAGUAUGUGUGUCUUUUUCAAGGAAAGUUUUGUCUGGAUAUAUGCCCACAAGUGGGAUUGCAAGCAUUCAGGUUUUAAGGGCAGAUUUUCCACCUCUUGAGCUCUCAGUGAUUACCUGCCUAGUAAGGAAAGAAUUUUCAAAAGCACAAAGCAGAACAGGUAUAUGAGGUAGCUUUGUUUUUGUGGUUAUCAGUAAUAAAGGCUCUAGGUUGUGCAGUUAACUAUUUUUCUGUCCAUUUCAGUCCUAAGCUUGGAAUAGGAUAGAAGAAAUGUUAGAGGGCGUUCCAUCUCUUGCUCUCUAAGGGCUGCCCACUUCUUUGCCAUGUUGGGCUUGGAGAGGGGAAAUCUGCCUGAUGUGGCCUCAGGUGAACCCCAUUUAAGACAUGUUUGUGUCCUGCUGGGCAGAGAGGGAGUUUCUAGCUUUUAAGAAGAUGACAAAUUAAAUCUGCAGCAGCAAUGAGCUUACCUUGGCAUUUUUCACGACUUUCUGCAGCGUUAAAAACUUUUGCCAAUACUCACAUUUAAUAGCUUCUGCCUUGGUGAAAUUAUCAAGGUUCCCAACUGUGAUUUCAAUGGUUCGAAGAGUAGGGGGGGGCAUUUGUAAAUUGCUGGCAGAAAUGAAUAGCAAUCCAUGAAAGAGAGAAAAAAUAAUUGAACAGGAACUAGAAAGGGAAAGUUUAAGUGAAAAAGGCAAAAAAAGUAUGCAUGUUUGAAUAGAUAGCUAGAUAGAUGUAUAUCUAUGUAUGUACAUGUGUUUUUUCCUUUGAAGGUUUUUUUUAUUUGAUACAGAAGGAAAACCUGGUUUAUAACAGGACCCACCUCCACCACCUCAAGCCCCAUGCACUUCUAGAAACUAGCCCCAAUAUCUCUCUAGGAACUUGUUGGGGCCUCUGUAUUUUUGUUUACAACUGAAGAUUAAGUACUCCCUGGCUUCUGAUUAGAGCCAAAAACCUGCAGUUUUAUGUUACAAUUUUUUUUUUUUUUUUUUUUAAGCCACACCUGCAGCACAUGAACGUUCCUGGGCCAGAAGUCAAAUAGGAGCUGCAGCUGCCGGCCUAGGCGACAGCCACGGCAAUACUGGAUCCAAGCUGCAUCUGCUACCUACCCUGUAGCUUGUGGCAACACCAGAUCCUUAACUCACUGAGAAAGGCCAGGUAUUGAACCCACAUCCUCAUGGAUAUUAGAUUUUUAACUCGCUGGGCCACAAGGGAACGCCUUCUCUUCCAUUUUAAAGACUGGAAACAAUUUUUUGUUAAAAGAACACACUAUGCAGUGCCAGACAAAAAUAUUAGGGUCAACCUAUGAAGUUGCCACUUUGUGAGGCCAUAGGUUGGCUAUUUUCUACCUUCAGGCUAAGCUAAUAAAUUGGUGGGGGAAGGGCACAUUUUGAAUACUGAGCUAUAACACUGUUGACUGAAAUGAAACACACUAUAAAAGUUGUGAGUUAAAUUUUAUUUGGGCACCUUACCGAGGGCUAGCAUCCUAGAGACAGCCCCUCAGAGAGCUCUGAGAAACUGCUCCCAAGAGGCCAGGGAGGAUCCAGGAGGUAUAUAUACACAUAUGCACAUAUGCAUAUAUGAGAACUUUUUGCUGGGAAAAACAUAUAGUCGGGAGUAAAAUGAUUGCUGCUAAUCAUAAAAACAGACAUCUCAAAUUAAUGAUUUUAGUGCUUUCUAUGUAUGAGAAGAUGCAAGAAUCUGGGUCACUGAAAAUUUUCCUUAGCGAUAUUUUAACUAUCCAAGGGCCAGUAUAUCCAGAGCACAGAAUGCUUCCUGUUUUUCUGCAUCCUGAAUUUCCCUCAGGGCGCGGUGUUGGUGGAUGUCUGCUGUGGCUAAUGGCUUGAUCCUUGUAGAGAUGCAUGGCAGGCAACCUUUUUUUCUCUACAACACACACAGUAUUGUGUGUCUAGUGAAACUGAAUCCCCUCCAAAUCAGAGAUCCCUUACCUAGUUUAUGCUUAAUCUCUCUACUCAAAACUUUAUUCUCUUUCUUGUGUCCUUGACUUCAAUUCUGUGCUAACUGAACACUAAUCAACCAGAAUCAGAUGACUAAGAUGGCUAUUCUAGAUGUCAUUAUUAAUGUACAAACUUAAUUUUUUUUUCCUCCAGGGCAGGAUGAACUAACAGACCCCUCACCUGGCCAGAGAAUCAUAAACCAGAGACAUCCUGACUCCUGAUGUCAAAAGACAAUGAUUAACUCCAGCCAAGCUGUUCUUCCCCUUUUAAAAAAGCCUGAGCUCAAAGAGCUAGUUGGGAGUUCCUAUUGUGGCUGAGUGGGUUAAUAUGUUACAAUAGUGUCCAUGAGGAUGCGUGUUCGAUCCCUGGCCUCACUCAGUGGGUUAAAGAUCUGGAGUUGCUGCAAGCUGUGGCUUAGGUAGCAGAUGCAGCUUGGAUCUGGGGUUGCUGUGGCGUAGGCAGGAAACUGCAGCCCCGAGGCCAGGGUCUUUUAUGUACUGCAGGUGUGGCAGUAAACAGGAAAAAAAAAAAGAAAAAAAGAAAAA
rnacentral:lncRNA from 1 species